rnacentral:rRNA from 1 species
CCUACGGGUGGCAGCAGUGGGGAAUAUUGCACAAUGGGGGAAACCCUGAUGCAGCGACGCCGCGUGAAGGAAGAAGUAUUUCGGUAUGUAAACUUCUAUCAGCAGGGAAGAAAAUGACGGUACCUGACUAAGAAGCCCCGGCUAACUACGUGCCAGCAGCCGCGGGAAUACGUAGGGGGCAAGCGUUAUCCGGAUUUACUGGGUGUAAAGGGAGCGUAGGCGGGUUAGCAAGUCAGAAGUGAAAGCCCGGGGCUCAACGCCGGGACUGCUUUUGAAACUGGUGAACUGGAUUGCAGGAGAGGUAAGUGGAAUUCCUGGUGUAGCGGUGAAAUGCGUAGAUAUUAGGAGGAACACCAGUGGCGAAGGCGGCUUACUGGACUGUAAAUGACGCUGAGGCUCGAAAGCGUGGGGAGCAAACAGGAUUAGAUACCCGAGUAGUC